rnacentral:rRNA from 1 species
AUGCGGAUGAUUAUCGUCCUCAUCGUCCUGGGAGCGGCGAACGGCUGCGUAACACGUUGGUACCUGCCCCAUACUCAGGGAUAACCCCGCGAAAGCGGGGCUAAUACCGGAUAGUCUCGAAAGAGUAAAGCUUUCGCGGUAUGGGAGGGGCCUGCGGCCUAUCAGGUAGUUGGUAAGGUAAUGGCUUACCAAGCCUAUGACGGGUAGCUGGUCUGAGAGGACGACCAGCCAGAAUGGAACUGAGACACGGUCCAUACUCCUACGGGAGGCAGCAGUUAGGAAUCUUCCGCAAUGGGCGAAAGCCUGACGGAGCGACACCGCGUGAAGGAUGAAGCCCUUUUUGGGUGUAAACUUCUGUUCUGAGGGACGAAAUUUUUGACGGUACCUCAGAAGAAAGCACCGGCUAAUUCUGUGCCAACAGCCGCGGUAAGACAGAAGGUGCAAGCGUUACUCGGAAUUACUGGGCGUAAAGCGUCUGCAGGUUUCCUGUUAAGUCUGGCGUAAAAUUUCAGAGCUCAACUCUGAAUGCGUGCCGGAAACUGGCGGGAUAGAGUCGGUCAGAGGCAUCUGGAAUGCCGUGUGUAGGGGUAAAAUCCGUAGAU